rnacentral:rRNA from 1 species
ACUCCUACGGGAGGCAGCAGUGGGGAAUAUUGCACAAUGGGGGAAACCCUGAUGCAGCCAUGCCGCGUGUGUGAAGAAGGCCUUCGGGUUGUAAAGCACUUUCAGUAGGGAGGAAGGUAGUGUAGUUAACACCUGCAUUAUUUGUACGUUACCUACAGAAGAAGCACCGGCUAACUCCGUGCCAGCAGCCGCGGUAAUACGGAGGGUGCGAGCGUUAAUCGGAAUUACGUGGGCGUAAAGCGCAUGCAGGCGGCCUGUUAAGUCAGAUGUGAAAGCCCGGGGCUUAACCUCGGAAUUGCAUUUGAAACUGGCAGGCUAGAGUCUUGUAGAGGGGUUAGAAUUUCAGGUGUAGCGGUGAAAUGCGUAGAGAUCUGAAGG